rnacentral:rRNA from 1 species
UACAGAGGUCUCAAGCGUUGUUCGGAUUCAUUGGGCGUAAAGGGUGCGUAGGCGGCGCGGUAAGUCGGGUGUGAAAUCUCGGGGCUUAACUCCGAAACUGCAUUCGAUACUGCCGUGCUUGAGGACUGGGAGAGGAGACUGGAAUUUACGGUGUAGCGGUGAAAUGCGUAGAUAUCGGUAGGACACCAGUGGCGAAGGCGGUCUCCUGGGGCAUUCUUGACGCUGGAGGCGCGGAAAGCUGGGGGAGCAAACGGG